UCGAGUCGAAAAAUCGGUUAUCACAUGAAAUCUAGCAAGAGAACGAGGGGCGUGUGCCUGUGAAGGGGCGCCUAAACCCGAGAGGGGGCAGGGCGGACGAGGGACCCUCGACUGUGCGCCUGGGCAGCGGGGGCGAGAGACUGAACUGACCCCACGCGUGGUUGCGGGCAGGGCAGAGAUCACUCACUCGGAGGACCCCGAUCCCGCACUUGUGCAUUCCGGCUCAGGCAAGGAGCGCACGCACGCCACGGCCGCGGCUCUCACAGGCCCCCCGAGGAAUUGCGGGGGUGGGGGCGUGAGCCAAGAGUCGAGCGGCAGACACGUUUCUUUCUCUCCCGGGAGCUGGGAAGAAGGCCAGCCCCGUGUGCCACACGCCAGGCUUCUGCGCUGCAGCUUGCUGGUGAGCAGGGCCGCGCACGAUUCGUGUCAACAUUUCUUCCCUUGCUGACUUGGCUAGGAGGCUGCAGCACCAGAGGCGCUUGAGGACGGGCGCGGAAGCCCUGGAGCGCUUGGCCCGAUUGACAGCCCACCGCCCACCUUCUUUCUGCCUGGAUUCGAUGGGUCUAGCAACACCUGGGGCAUCUCGUCUCGCCCCUCCUCCAACCCAGACGGAUUCCUGUCUGGGCUUCAGGGUUCCAGAACUUCUAAUCUUAUGUACAGAACUGGCUGAGAGGAAGACUGACAGCGGGAGAUGUACAGUUCUCAGGCAAAUGAGAUCAAUGUGAAGAUGGCAUACUGUUUACCGGUAACGUCGAUGGGCCAUGAGCUGUGUGAGCAAGUUCCAGGCUCUGGGCCAGCCGAUGCCAACCUAGAUGACGGACUCCAUCUUACGGCUCUGUGAGCAGACUGCGAUGCGGAGCAAGCACCAUUCAACGGGAACAAAUUUAUCCUAAAAUAUUUGUGAAAACAUCUGUGAAAACAGAUGAUGGAGGGAGUCCAGGCAAAGGAACAGGUUCUACGGAGACAGAGGAGCGUGACCUGACGAUUCGCCCUCGUGGGUUUUCACUCUGAUCCGCACGCACUUCACUGCUAUGGAGUGAAGGUGACAAUCAGUCUCUCCAGAACAAAGCUAACGGCUGUCGCAGGCUUUGGGAAGAAUGUAGUUUGUGUGAGAACCUGUAGAACAAUGAGCUAGAACUCACUGUCUCGGGAUCCGAGAUGGCCAGGAUGAGGCUUCCCCAGGUUCACACCUGACGCACUGCGGCUGUGGUCGUACGGCAGUGCUCACGCUCAUGUUAGGCUUAUAUCUUCUCAAAACUAGGAAACUAUGCUGGGGGAAUUCUCCACAUUUAAAUUAGUAAGUUUUAUAAUAAAGUUUUACCUCCAUCGGUUAGAAACAAACAAACAAAAACAAACAAACAAACAAGCACACAGGGCUCUUCUGGCAGCAGCGUCCAGAUGAGACCAAUUAUUUCUUGUACAUGAAAUACUAACCCCCAAAUGAAUACUCUGUGCCCAUUGAUGUCCCCGUGUCAGCGACUAUCUUCGUCACUCAUUCAUGACUCACACUCAUCCCUGAUGCUGUCCAUUUCCAGCUGUCUCAGCUUCAUCAGGCUGCUGGCUGUCGGAGCAGGAGGCUGCGAGGGAGAUAGCUUACAUGGCCCUCAGUGUCAGUCAAACUCCUGUGGGGACGGGAGGCACAGGAGCAAACCCACAUGACACAGGAGCUUCAUCUUAAAGGAGCUUGUAGGAUUAAAAAUUAUUUUCGUUUUUAUAUUUUUAUGGAGCUGGGACAGAACCUAAGGCUUUGGGCAUGCUAAUGCUAGGCACAUGGGCUGUACGGUUGAGGUACUCCCUAGAGAAUUUUUUGCAAGAAAAUUUAAGCACCCAACAUCUUCAUUUUACCUUCAUUUUAGAACCUUACCUACUCUGGCAUUUAUUAAUUCAAUAA